UGCAGCGCACUAACAAGUGGUGCUCUCAAGGAUUGCGGAAAUUGCGGAGAGAUGGCAAGAGAGAUGGGUGGAUAUGUGAGUGAUACGGAUUCUGACACCUUAUCAUUUUUGUUAGUGGAACUGAUUUUAGCUGCAUGAAACAAUGGGAGUUUCACUCAGUAAGGGCAUCUGGAUGGCACAAAUCUUCUGGAGGCGUGAAUGGAAUAGUAGAUCCUGUUAGACCUUGACUAAUGUCAGCAACCAGAACGGCGGCUUGAGUCGAGGAGCAGAGGAGGAAGAUUUACUGUGCUGUGGAUGUGUCCAAGGAAAGCUGGCAGCACUGAACACAGGGAAGCAAUGGGGAAUGGCAAAGGCUGUUGAGAAGUUUGGUUUAAACCAUGGUGAGCCGAGCUGUUCUGCAAGUAGUGAGCUGUAGCCAUUCCCUGCAUGGAGAAAGUUGAGUGCUGUAGCCAUUCCCUGCAUGGAGAAAGUUUGGAUAGAUGUUUUACCUGACACACAGCCUUUCCUCUGCUGGAGUUCUGGCCUAUAUGGAGUAAAAGUAAAUGUAUGAGUUGCUGCACCUCACAUGCUCAUCAGUGCCUACAGCUCUGUGUCUUCUUCAGUCUCCUCCGCCCCUCUCCUUCCCCACCCUCAAAGCUCUCAGCAUGACGUGACACCAGGAAUCCUUUGGCAAAAUGCUACCACACCACAACCAGAACUUUUAGGUUCCUGUCCAGCUCACACAGUGUCCAUCCUCUGUGUAAACCAUUUGGUACAAGCUCUGUCCACCACGGCACAAUUAGUGCUGGCAAAGUUCUCUCGCGGGUCUCUGAGCCUACGUUGGGAUCCCGUUGCUCUUGCUUAGCUGGGAUCACACACGUGGAUUGUGCUGACGAAGGGUGCUGGGCUGAGAGGGGCCUGAUAAGGCAGUGUGACCCUGACAUACGUUGUCAGCAGCACUGCCAUCGCCAGCGAGAGCAGGGGGAGGACUGAAAUUCUCCCGUUCAAUUGGGCGAAUUUGAUACCUUCUCGUUCUUGUGUCCUCGUGGCUCGGCCACUUGACAUUUCUAAACAUUCUCAAGCAAGUUCACUGGAAAACUAUCCCAUGUCAGGAGCUGGUGAUGUCAAGGCUAAUAACAGUCCUGGGGUCAAAUCCUUCUGAUCCUUCAGGCAAGGACCUCAAGAUUUGGCUCCAAGUCAACAACAAGACCUUCCUUGUGAACUGAAAACUCUGGUGCUCCCCAGCUGACACAUAUACCACCAGACUCAUCUAUGUUUUUCAGAUGGACUCCAGCUCUGCACACUCAUCCAAGGCAAUGCACACAGAAUAAGCACAAGGCAAUGAGCACUGCAGAUAUACCCAAUUUCCUAAAGCCACCAUCUGCUGUAAACCUGCCCUGCAGCAUAGUCACCACCCUGGAAGGAGAAACACAAAAGAACUUGAAGCUCUUGGAGUGAAACAGUGCAAAGCACCUGCAUGAGGUGCCAGUGGUCACCUGUGAAACAGCUCCCUUGGAGUCACCACGUGUUGUCAUCACCAGACAGUGACAUCUCCCAUCUUUGGAGCAGGCUUGGCUGUGGAUCCAGAAGAGGGCAAUGGUGACACAUCCUCACGGAGGCUCCGAGCACCAAAUCCACUGAGGGCAGCCACGGCAGGAAUGGAGCCAACAGCCAGACCACCUUGGCUAGUGGAUCUGCCUGUUCCUGGCUGUUUCAUGGCAAGCAGAUUGAAGUGGGAGGCAGCUUUCAGCUACUGUCUCAGAAGCAGAAUAAAAAGCUGAUUUCUCUGCUGGGGGACUUUGGCGCACAAGUGCAAGACGAGGACAACAGGCAGGUGCAAGUCUGCUGAGAAGGAAUGCAACAGGGCAGAGCUGACAGGCAAACAGACCCUGGGCAUUGCUGCUGCCAGCUUUUCCAUCGGCAUCUCACCAGGGAUGAGAACAAAUCUCUCUGUGGGCGGGCGCAGGAAGCGGCCCCCGAGCGCGAGGGAGAGGCACGGGACAAGGGCGGCUUGGGAAUCCUGGUGGGAGAUCUUCCCAGCAAACCUGGGCCACGGGAGACGCCGUGAUGUGCCCGAAGGAGGCACAAACAGCCCCCUCCUCCUUGGCACAGGACUCAGCUGUGGCAAAUCUGAUCUUUUUGUUCGCUCGAGGCUUUUGUUUGUUCACUAAAUGCCCCCGGACUUUGCUUUUCAAGUCUCUUCCUUCUCUGUCGUUGUCACUGCCACGGCAACAGGUGAGUUUGAGAAGUUACACGUGGGGAUGAUGAGCUGCACUGAGGAAAUGACUCAAAUCCUUUGUAGACCCCACUGGAGCCAGUAGAUCUGAAGACAGAUGCCCUCCAUCCACAGAGCUGUGAGCAUGGAUGAACCGUCCAGUGGCUCCGUGCCCUCCAGAGCUCUCAUCACCAUCAGUUGAGCUCUUCCCCACAAAACAGCAGUGGAGGAAGCUCCAGAAGUGUCGCUUCUUUAUUUCAGUGCUGCCACACUCACUGACGUCCUCGCUGAGCCUCUUGCAGCAGCAGGCUGCUAAUCAGGAACUCUGCUGCUGCUGCUGCUCAUCAAAACCUCUUUGCUCGCCACUUUGGCAUCAUUCUGGGAAGCCAACAGAGCGCAGAGAUGCUCAAUUCCUCCCCCUCCACACACCUUCCAUUGUCUUCAGGACUGACAGCUCUGAUGUGGAGCAGUGAUAAAAGCCAGCUGAUGCUGUCAGGGCCUGGUACAAUUGCACUGCAGGGAAAAAGGCGACUGGCUCUGAGUCAUCGGAGCCGCCUGGAGCUCAGGAUGCCUGGCACACGUGCUGUCUCCUGGCACGGCUCAUCACACAGCAGUGCACCUCUGGAUGCUCCCCUCUGAGGAGGGGUUGACCAGAGGGUUUGAGAAAAGCCUGGGCUGGUGGCCAAAUGCAUGGCCAGCCAUGCUUU